UAAAGGUUUGGUCCCAGCCUUCUUAUUAAUUUAUAGCAGGAUUACACAUGCAAGCAUCUACGACCCUGUGAGAAUGCCCUCUAUGUUAAUACAUGUUUAACCUAAAGGAGCAGGUAUCAAGCACACUAUAAUAGUAGCUCAAAACACCUUGCUUAACCACACCCCCACGGGAUACAGCAGUGAUUAAAAUUAAGUUAUAAACGAAAGUUUGACUAAGCCAUGUUAUAUUAGGGUUGGUAAAUUUCGUGCCAGCCACCGCGGUCAUACGAUUAACCCAAAUUAAUAAGUCACGGCGUAAAGAGUGUUUUAGAUUUUAACUAUAAUAAAGUUAAACUUUAACUAAGCCGUAAAAAGCCCUAGUUAAAAGUAAAAUAACGAACGAAAGUCACUUUAAUAUUCUCUGAGUACACGAUAGCUAAGACACAAACUGAGAUUAGAUACCCCACUAUGCUUAGCCCUAAACAUAAACCCUUAUUAACCUAACUGUUCGCCAGAGAACUACAAGCCAAAGCUAAAAACUCAAAGGACUUGGCGGUGCUUUAUAUCCCUCUAGAGGAGCCUGUUCUAUAAUCGAUAAACCCCGAUAUACCUCACCAUUUCUUGUCACCACAGCCUAUAUACCGCCAUCUUCAGCAAACCUUAAUAAGGAGAUAAAGUAAGCUCAAGCACUGACAUAAAAACGUUAGGUCAAGGUGUAGCUUAUGAAAUGGGAAGAAAUGGGCUACAUUUACUUCACCAAGUAUAUCCACGUUAACUCUUAUGAAAUCUGAGAGUAGAAGGAGGAUUUAGUAGUAAGCUAGGAAUAGAGAGCCUAACUGAAUAGGGCCAUUAAGCACGCACACACCGCCCGUCACCCUCCUCAAGCAUUUACUAUUAAUAUUAGUUUAUAUUACCUUACAUACAUGCAAGAGGAGAUAAGUCGUAACAUGGUAAGCAUACUGGAAAGUGUGCUUGGAUUAAU
rnacentral:ncRNA from 1 species